rnacentral:snRNA from 1 species
UGAUGUGAGGGCGAUCUGGCUGCGACAUCUGUCACCCCACUGAUCGCCAGGGUUGAUUCAGCUGAUCUGGCUGGCUAGGCGGGUGUCCCCUUCCUCCCUCACUGCUCCAUGUGCAUCCCUCCCGAAGCUGCGUGCUCGGUGGAAGAGGACCACCAUCCCAGAUAGAAGGAGUGUACCGUUCUUCGGUCAAGGGUAUACGAUAGCUGCGCUCCCCUGCUAGAACCUCCAAGUGACUUUUUUUAAGGUUAAGGAAUGCCUAACAAGGACCAUCUAUGACUCUUGAUCAAGCUUUAUUUAUAUAGACCAGUUUGUUUAA